CGGCGGACGGGUGAGUAACACGUGGAUAACCUACCUAUAAGACUGGGAUAGCUUCGGGAAACCGGAGCUAAUACCGGAUAAUAUAUUGAACCGCAUGGUUCAAUAGUGAAAGACGGUUUUGCUGUCACUUAUAGAUGGAUCCGCGCCGCAUUAGCUAGUUGGUAAGGUAACGGCUUACCAAGGCAACGAUGCGUAGCCGACCUGAGAGGGUAAUCGGCCACACUGGAACUGAGACACGGUCCAG
rnacentral:rRNA from 1 species